rnacentral:rRNA from 1 species
UACGUAGGGACCAAGCGUUGUUCGGAUUUACUGGGCGUAAAGGGCGCGUAGGCGGCGUGGUAAGUCACUUGUGAAAUCUCCGAGCUUAACUCGGAACUGCCAAGUGAUACUGCUGUGCUAGAGUGCAGAAGGGGCAACCGGAAUUCUUGGUGUAGCGGUGAAAUGCGUAGAUAUCAAGAGGAACACCAGUGGCGAAGGCGGCUACCUGGACCUCGGCUGACGCUGAGGCGCGAAAGCGUGGGGAGCGAUCCGG